UACGUAGGUGGCAAGCGUUGUCCGGAUUUACUGGGCGUAAAGGGAGCGUAGGUGGAUAUUUAAGUGGGAUGUGAAAUACUCGGGCUUAACUUGAGUGCUGCAUUCCAAACUGGAUAUCUAGAGUGCAGGAGAGGAAAGUAGAAUUCCUAGUGUAGCGGUGAAAUGCGUAGAGAUUAGGAAGAAUACCAGUGGCGAAGGCGACUUUCUGGACUGUAACUGACACUGAGGCUCGAAAGCGUGGGGAGCAAACAGG
rnacentral:rRNA from 1 species